GGUAGAUAACUAAAUUGGUAAAGUACUUGCCUUGCAAGCCUGAGGACCUGAGUUCAAUUCCCAGAACCA
rnacentral:tRNA from 1 species